AAAUGGGUUCUCUGCAACCCCUUCUUAUCUGGGUGUUUUAUCGAACAAAAGCACACCUCCCAAAUAAAACACCUUGUCGUGGAAAGCAACGUUUUACUCAGUGAUAAAUAAACUGAAAGACAGAUAGAUGGUGGUAAAUCGUGCACAUUUUGUAGUUGUAACUUUCUCCCUCUCGGUAAUACAGAGACACUUUUCGGAACGGGUUAUUAUUUUUUACAACACAACAGCAGCAAGUCUCACUCGUUACGCACAGUAGUUCUGGUUUGAGUAUUUUAUUCUUUUAAAGCACUCUGAUACUGGAUACUUAAAUAGUUUAGUAUCUAAAAUGUGAUUAACAAAACCAGCAAACCACUAAAGUGAUACAGUUUAAUUAAAUAAAGUUGCUGUAAUCUAGACUGGAUUACUACAUUUCCCACAAUGCACUUGUUUGUUGUAGUUUCCUAGGAAACGCUGUUAUCCACAGCUCGRUUGGUGGGUGAGGUGUUCACUGCUGUCUCAACAAUGUACGGAGCUCCAAUCGAUUUAUCUUUCAGAAGUAUUUGCAAACUGACAGAUGCAGUCACCUUGGAACCCAGGAGAGGUCUGCGGCCUUUAAAGAGAAACCCAGAGAGGAAAUACCUCGGCAGAUCUCUGCGUCUGAAUAACAAUAACAUCACAGAACUGCAUGAGCUCCAAAGCACUGUCAGCCACUUCCUGGCUGAACCCUCACGCCUCGACCUUUCCUUUAAUAAAAAUCGUACACAUAGACCAGGUUUUGUGCGAGCUGCAUGGCCUCCGUGUGUUACAUCUUCAUGGGAACAACAUUUUCAUUCUGUCAGAGGUGGACAGGUUGGGCGUUCUGCCUCAUCUUCACUCCAUCACCCUGCAUGGAAAUCCCAUAGAAAACAAGACGUACAGGAAUUGUGUGAUUUCUGCUUUGCCUCAAAUAAAGACGGUGGACUUCAGCGCUGUCACACAGCAGGAGCGAGUUUUGGCCAAGUUCUGGCAUCGAGACAACAUCAACAGACAGGAGCAGAGGAGAAACAAGACCAUAUCUGACAGAACAUAGGUUUCAUAGAGACCUACAMUCAGUCAAUCAGUGACACUUGUUCUAAUUCAGAGUUGUAAAGUAACUAAGUCCAAAUACUUUCUUACUGUAGUUGAGAAGAAUUUUUGGGUAUUACUUGAGUAAUUAUUUUUAGCCUACUUUAUACUUUUACUCCUUACAUUUAAAAAAA